AGUCGGACGGUAGCACAGAGGAGCUUGCNCCUUGUGUGACGAGUGGCGGACGGGUGAGUAAUGUCUGGGGAUCUGCCCGAUAGAGGGGGAUAACCACUGGAAACGGUGGCUAAUACCGCAUAACGUCGCAAGACCAAAGAGGGGGACCUUCGGGCCUCUCACUAUCGGAUGAACCCAGAUGGGAUUAGCUAGUAGGCGGGGUAAUGGCCCACCUAGGCGACGAUCCCUAGCUGGUCUGAGAGGAUGACCAGCCACACUGGAACUGAGACACGGCCCAGACUCCUACGGGAGGCAGCAGUGGGGAAUAUUGCACAAUGGGCGCAAGCCUGAUGCAGCCAUGCCGCGUGUUGAAGAAGGCCUUCGGGUUGUAAAGUACUUUCAGCGGGGAGGAAGGCGACGGGGUUAAUAACCCUGUCGAUUGACGUUACCCGCAGAAGAAGCACCGGCUAACUCCGUGCCAGCAGCCGCGGUAAUACGGAGGGUGCAAGCGUUAAUCGGAAUUACUGGGCGUAAAGCGCACGCAGGCGGUCUGUUAAGUCAGAUGUGAAAUCCCCGGGCUUAACCUGGGAACUGCAUUUGAAACUGGCAGGCUUGAGUCUUGUAGAGGGGGGUAGAAUUCCAGGUGUAGCGGUGAAAUGCGUAGAGAUCUGGAGGAAUACCGGUGGCGAAGGCGGCCCCCUGGACAAAGACUGACGCUCAGGUGCGAAAGCGUGGGGAGCAAACAGGAUUAGAUACCCNGGUAGNNCACGCCGUAAACGAUGUCGACUUGGAGGUUGUUCCCUUGAGGAGUGGCUUCCGGAGCUAACGCGUUAAGUCGACCGCCUGGGGAGUACGGCCGCAAGGUUAAAACUCAAAUGAAUUGACGGGGGCCCGCACAAGCGGUGGAGCAUGUGGUUUAAUUCGAUGCAACGCGAAGAACCUUACCUACUCUUGACAUCCACGGAAU
rnacentral:rRNA from 1 species